UGAGGAAUAUUGGGCAAUGCCCGCAAGGGUGACCCAGCAACGCCGCGUGGAGGAUGAAUGUCGUAAGAUUGUAAACUCCUGUUAGAGGGGAAGAAUAGUACCGGUUGGACCGGUAUAUGACUGUACCCUCAGAGAAAGCCCCGGCUAACUACGUGCCAGCAGCCGCGGUAAUACGUAGGGGGCAAGCGUUGUCCGGAUUUACUGGGUGUAAGGGCGCGCAGGCGGAAUGGAAAGUCAGUGGUGAAAUCCUACAGCUUAACUGUAGAACUGCCUUUGAUACUUUCAUUCUUGAGUUCGGGAGAGAGAGACGGAAUUCCAGGUGUAGUGGUGAAAUACGUAGAUAUCUGGAAGAACACCAGUUGCGAAGGCGGUCUCUUGGUCCGAUACUGACGCUGAGGCGCGAAAGCGUGGGGAGCAAACA
rnacentral:rRNA from 1 species